GUCCUACGGGAGGCAGCAGUGAGGAAUAUUGGUCAAUGGGCGGAAGCCUGAACCAGCCAAGUCGCGUGAGGGAAUAAGGCCCUACGGGUCGUAAACCUCUUUUGCCGGGGAGCAAGGGCGGGGACGUGUCCCGGCCCGGAGAGUACCCGGAGAAAAAGCAUCGGCUAACUCCGUGCCAGCAGCCGCGGUAAUACGUAGGUGGCAAGCGUUAUCCGGAAUUACUGGGUGUAAAGGGUGUGUAGGCGGGG
rnacentral:rRNA from 1 species